ACGUCAAGACUCAUGGAUAUUAACCAUAAGCUUUUCUUCACUGCCGAAAGUGCUUUACAACCCUAAGGCCUUCUUCACACACGCGGUAUUGCUGGAUCAGGGUUGCCCCCAUUGUCCAAUAUUCCCC
rnacentral:rRNA from 1 species